GGCAGAAGAAGACACCACAGGAGUUGUUGAGGCAUUGGUUAGGAAGUGAACAGCAGAACUGGCAGAGGCUGCUGGGCCUGUUGGGGUACCAGGAGUGACAGAGAAGACUGGCAGCUGCAGAGCAGGACAGACCAGAUUGGCCAGUACAACAGCAGAGGGCCAUGUUGGGCUUUGACUCAGGAAUCCUGGUGGAGGCAAUGAUGAGAGAGAAGAGAUAAAACACACUAGGUAAGCCAAGGUAGUUGUCAGGAUAGAAGGAGACAGGCAGGCCAGAUGGCUGUUAACCGUGUGGUGUGUCCCAACUUUCCAGCAUCAAUUUAAUGGCCAAAUUAAAAUUUUCUAUCAAUCCAUCUUAGCAGCAGAGCCAAGUGUUAGAGUUAUUGCUGCCUGAGUUAUAACAGCUGCCCUGGGAAUCUUGUCUGAACAACAAGUUAACUGCUGUUCCCAGUUAUAUCUGGUCUUUCCCACCCCCAAACAUACACAAAAGAUUUUUGUCAUUCUUGGCACUGGACAACAGAAGUGAUAAGACAUGCCAGCAGAACUCUAAAGGCAGAAUGUCCUUCCACCUGUUUUAUGCUGUAAGACAAACUUCCAAGUGCGAGGCAGUGUGGAGGGCUGUUGCCUUGAAUGGCAGCUGAAUGCACCAGCGGGAUCCUUGGCAGCAAUGCCCAGGCACUGAAGUCGGGCAUUCAGGAGAGCUAAAUGGAGAAAAGAAACUUGAGCAAACUGCUUCCUGGAACACUGAGAACCUGAAUGGGAAAUUAAGAAGAACCAGAUUCUUUCUAUUCUUCCACCAGCCAAGGUGAUGAGCACAAAAGGAUCCAUCUUAUACAGUGCUUGCCAGCUUCCAUAAUACUACUCACCACGAUGUUGAAAUCACCUGUUCCAGAACCAGUCCUGUCCUUUGACAAGAAGGAUUUAAUUAUCAGUAGUGGUGGGGACUGGCUGGAGAGAGGAAAAACACUUCAAGGACUCUGCCACCUUUCGUAGAUGGAGAGUGCAAAGUUUGUACCAUGGAACUCCUUCUCUAACAGUUACUCUGUGGCAGUGCCUAUUUCAAACCUCCCUUAACUUCUGAUUGUAUAGAUGUUUGUUUCAUUUGUUCAUCUGUUUGUUCACUUAGUCAGAGAUGUUUUAAGCCUUAAGAGAAAUAGUGGACUAGAAAAUGCCUUGGAAAAGUACAAAGUUCAAUCCAAGUAAACUGUUUUUAAACUAGGAAUUUAUGAAGCCUAAAAUAUAAAAUGUAUAUACAUGGAUAUGCUCUGAAGUGAGGUAGAGGGGUAGAAAUCAACAUUGUGAUAUUGUACUAUAGUUUUGCAAGAUGUUACCAUUGGGGGAAAAUGUUUGAAGGGUAUACGGGAUAUCUCUGCCUUAUUUCUUACAACUGCAUGUGAAUCUACAGUUAUCUCAAAAUAAAAAUUUAAUUAACAAUUGAU
rnacentral:lncRNA from 1 species